GUAUACUAUAGGUCAAGGUUCAAAUUACCCUUGCUAAUUUUAAUCCCAUGUUGGAUAAAAUCAAGCAUUUUAAUCACUUGAAAGGGUUUGGCCAAGGGAUAGGAUUAAGGAUUUUGGAAAAAGGAGCACAAGAAAGGGCUAGGCCAGAUGCCAAACCCAACACCAUACAAUACUUAAUGAAACCCAUUUUACUAUAUUAAUUACAAAACUGAUGAAUUAAAAUUUGAUGGAUAUAAUAUGGCUCAAAGUUGGGCCCAAGGAGUGACAAAGGGCGAAAACAGACAUGAAAGGCCUAUUUCUAGCAAGCUACCUCGAAUUGGCCCAAGCAAGGCCCAAUCCCCUUUAGAAUUUUCAGAAAACAUAAGACAAGAACUAGAUAUCCAUUACCAGAUUGAAUUUUUACACCUGCUUACAAACAAUAGUAAGAUGAACAUGGAUCCAAAGCUACUCUUUUGAAAUAUACAAAUUCUUCCACCAACAAAAUACUCUAACAUUGCUAAAAUUAGAUGAUUAAACUAUGUAAUUUCAACAGCCAGCAUUAACAUGAUAUUCAAAUUAACAAUCUUAAAUGUGAAAGCAACCACAAAACCUAUCUACUAAUUUGAAAAUCUAGGCACUAACAUAUAGAUUCUAACAUAUGAAUUUUUUUCUAAAUCAUUGUCCAUUCAGCAUAUCCACAAUGACCAUAGUAAACUAAAAGAGAACAAACGAAAAUAGACAUAGAAAUUCAAGAAAACACAUGUAGGAGGAAAUUGAAAAAUCCUUGAUACAUUCAUGAAAAUUCCCAUUAUAAUUUCAUAUAUCUAAGUACUUCAGCACUUCAACAGUCAUCAAGCCCAAAGGAAUACCCUGAGAGCAAGAGCAAAACGAUGAAAAAAAUAAAAAAAUUAUGUGAAGCAAGCAAGGAAGGAAGAAGCAAUUAAUCAGCUAGCAAAUAGCUUCAGCUCAAACCCAUUUUGGAAUCAGAAAUCUGAAGAAAAAAAAGAAGCUUCACAGUGUGUUUGCUUCUUUCAGAAAGAAAAAACAAAAGUGAAAAACCACUCAACUCUCUCACACAAUGCAGAAAAUUUGUAUAUUUUCUAUUGGUUCCAAUGUCUGCCUCAAAAAUGGAAGAAAAGAGUCCUUGUAUAGGUACUUCUGAAUCGGACCUAGCCUGAUUAGCUAAUUCCCCUUCUACCUCUUAUUUUCUUGGUCAUUUCCCUUAAUCCCUCUAAAAUAUCUGAAACCUCCCUUAUCUCUUAACAAACCAAACCAAUCUUACCCUCUAGAAGCUUCCCGCAACAAAAAUAUUCCCCCAGCCCUCAAAUACCUAAAACACCCCUUGACACCCCUGGAUUUACAUCCAAAAUGAAUAACACAUGGGUCAAAUUUGACCCAAGACCCAACCCAAAUGAACGAGCCUCUUUAAACCGGGUCAGAGAUGACCAAAAGCCUAAUCAGCUAACAUGAUCAAACCAAAACCAACUUCAGUUAUUAUGAAAAGCAGAAAAAGAAAAAAAUAAUUCGGAAUUAGAUGAUUUUUACGAUUAACCCAAACUUAUGCUUUUAACCAAUUGAAAACAAAACAAACUAAGAUUAAUUCAACUAAUAAAGAAAACAAAAAUAACGAAACAAAUAUAAGCACAAUAAUAUUUUUUUUUAAAGAAAAUUGAUGCAAGAAACAUAGACAGGAGAGAAAAGAGGGGAAAUGUACCAAUACUUGCCGGAAUGAAUUGACAAAUUGAGAUGAUUCGACGAACGAUGAAAGGAAUCGAGGUUUGGCCGGAGACCGGUGAGUCCGUCAAAAUCCGAUAUUCUCGAAAUGACUCAAAACUAUUGCCAAUUGAUUGCUCUCGUUGAGAGAAAUCUAUUAACAUAAUAUUCGAGUUAAAAUGAGUCAAAAUUUGAAAAAAAUCAAAGAAGGAAAGGGAAAUUAGUGCUUGCAUUUUUUGUUUUCAGAUUUGAAAUUAGGUAAAUUUGACUGGAUUUUAGGGAAAGAUACUGAUUGAUUUGGGAAGAAGGAGGGGUAAGGAUUGCAUGGUUGAAUUUUAGGGUGCUUUGGAGCAUGUUGUCGGCUGGUGAGGGUUUGGAGAUUUUGGGGCAGCUGGGUUUGAUUAUGGUUUGGGGUGAGGGAGAAUGACCAAGUUUGAAUUGGGUGAGCUUAGUUUAGGACACUAAUAUACGUAGAGGUAAUAAAUUUCGAGCCAUUGGAUCAUUGAAAUCCAACAGCUGAGAUGAAGG
rnacentral:lncRNA from 1 species